rnacentral:rRNA from 1 species
GGGUACUCUGAGAGAGACCGCCGGUGCUAAACCGGAAGAAGGGGGGGGAUGACGGUAGGUCAUNAUGCCCCNUANCUCCGGGGCUAACCCCGGGCUACAAUGACCGGAAACAAUGGGCCCCUACCCCGAGAGGGGAUGGUAAUCNCAAAAACCCCGCCUUAGUUCGGAUUGAGGGCUGCAACUCNCCUUCAUGAAGUUGGAAUCCCUAGUAAUCCCGGAUCAACAUGCCCGGGUGAAUACNUCCCGGGUCCUUG